GUUAAGUAGUAGGCCGCAGGCUCAGCAAUCGAAAAUAGUCAGCAGUGAAAAAUGACAAAAGUGUGGCAAUGCUUAAUAUAGGUGGAUAUCAACAAGCAGUAACAAAAGCCUUUGAUUCUCUUCCUGAAACUCCUAAACAUGCAUCGUAGGAGAAAGUUUUUUUUACAAGCUUCUACCAGCUACGAAUUUAAAACAUGAAGAAAGAAAAAAAAACAAAAGGAAAAUCCUACAACAGAAGAUAUGUUGGGGUUGGUUUUUUUGAAAAUCGUCUUGGUCGGUUAUUAGAAGAGGGGAUUGGCAUUUUGAAAAGGGGGGAACCAAAGUCCUUCAGGGAGAAAUAGCAAGAAGUAAGAAAACACAGAAAAAAAAAAGAUCUUCAUCUUCAUCUGGAGAAGCCCAAAGCACGGGGGAAGGAUCAAGAAAGGGAGAGUUUUCUUUCAAAAGGGAUAAGGAAGAAGAGGCAUCAUUCAUAGAAAAGGGAAGGGAGAAGCCAGCCAGCCUGAGGAAAGGAAGAGGUCAAGGUUGUAGCAAUCGAGUCUUCAAGAGGGUAUAAUAAAGCUUGGAGACCAUGGUUGAGCCAUCCAAGAAGCAUGUGAAGCCAAGGAAAGCAAAGGAGCUAAAAAGCGGAGAAAAAAAGGUAACUUUCGGAUUGGAGAGCUUUGCUUCUGGAUUAGAAAUGAAAGGAAAUUAGCUUCUGGAUUGUAAUCUGCACCCAGCCACAACCUUGCCUGGCUCAGCCACUGCGUAUCAGAAUUUGAAUUUUGCAUGUUUUCCUUGUUUGCUUUGAGUGGGAAGCGUGACCAAGCUAACUUGGCUCCCAAGCUCAACUUUUAUUUGGAUAUUGGAGGGAAUUUAGACCAAAAAUAAGAGGUCAUCUCCUUUGUAAUUUCUCACUCUUGAGCUUAAUAAAAUGCUGCUGAAUUUGCUUUCUA